AGUGAACGCUGGCGGUAGGCCUAACACAUGCAAGUCGAACGGCAGCACAGUAAGAGCUUGCUCUUACGGGUGGCGAGUGGCGGACGGGUGAGGAAUACAUCGGAAUCUACUUUUUCGUGGGGGAUAACGUAGGGAAACUUACGCUAAUACCGCAUACGACCUACGGGUGAAAGCAGGGGAUCUUCGGACCUUGCGCGAUUGAAUGAGCCGAUGUCGGAUUAGCUAGUUGGCGGGGUAAAGGCCCACCAAGGCGACGAUCCGUAGCUGGUCUGAGAGGAUGAUCAGCCACACUGGGACUGAGACACGGUCCAGACUCCUACGGGAGGCAGCAGUGGGGACUAUUGGACAAUGGGCGCAAGCCUGAUCCAGCCAUACCGCGUGGGUGAAGAAGGCCUUCGGGUUGUAAAGCCCUUUUGUUGGGAAAGAAAAGCAGCAGGUUAAUACCCCGCUGUUCUGACGGUACCCAAAGAAUAAGCACCGGCUAACUUCGUG
rnacentral:rRNA from 1 species